ensembl:snRNA U6 U6 spliceosomal RNA
GUGCUCGCUUCAGCAGCACAUAUACCAAAAUCAGACCAAUACAGAAAGGACUAGCAUGGCCCCUGCACAAGCAUGACAUGAAAAUUCAUGAAGUGUUCCAUAUUUUU